rnacentral:rRNA from 1 species
UGGGGAAUAUUGCACAAUGGGCGCAAGCCUGAUGCAGCCAUGCCGCGUGUGUGAAGAAGGCCUUCGGGUUGUAAAGCACUUUCAGCGGGGAGGAAGGCGAUAAGGUUAAUAACCUUGUCGAUUGACGUUACCCGCAGAAGAAGCACCGGCUAACUCCGUGCCAGCAGCCGCGGUAAUACAGAGGGUGCAAGCGUUAAUCGGAAUUACUGGGCGUAAAGCGCACGCAGGCGGUCUGUCAAGUCGGAUGUGAAAUCCCCGGGCUCAACCUGGGAACUGCAUUCGAAACUGGCAGGCUAGAGUCUUGUAGAGGGGGGUAGAAUUCCAGGUGUAGCGGUGAAAUGCGUAGAGAUCUGGAGGAAUACCGGUGGCGAAGGCGGCCCCCUGGACAAAGACUGACGCUCAGGUGCGAAAGCGUGGGGAGCAAACAGG